ensembl:lncRNA
AGAAUCAGAGUUACAGCUGGAUGUGGAAAAAAUAACUGAGUUGUUUGGUGGUGGAGCUACAACAGAGGGCAGCUACCCACCGGUGUGUGACAGAAAGGAUAUGCCGCCAACGAGACAUAUGAGGCCGGGCAGGCGAUUGCUAACGCGGUGGUCAAUCAUGGAUCAGGGAAAGCGAAGGCAGGAGCGUGAGGUGAACUGAAUUUCAGGUAAGAAGUUAUGAACUGCACUCUAUUUGGGUCAGAUAUAAACAGAGUUUAGGUGUAGUUUAUUUAGCAGCAGUUCUCUUAUGUGUUGCUGAUAGCCGGCUAGCUAGCUAGCGCCGCUAGCAUAGUUAGCUCGCGCCGCUAGCAACCCUUCGUGAAAAAGCACCCAGUCUUGGCUUAUAUUGAAGCGGGUGAAACUCGUGUCAGCACCCGGUCGCUCUCUAUUUGGGUCAGAUAUAAACCGAGUUUAGGUGUAGUUUAUUUAGCAGCAGUUCUCUUAUGUGUUGCUGAUAGCCGGCUAGCUAGCUAGCGCCGCUAGCAUAGUUAGCUCGCGCCGCUAGCAACCCUUCGUGAAAAAGCACCCAGGCUUGGCUUAUAUUGAGGCGGGUGAAACUCGUGUCAGCACCCGGUCGCUCUCUAUUUGGGUCAGAUAUAAACCGAGUUUAGGUGUAAUUUAUUUUCGUUGACCUUUUACAAUCAUAAUGCCACGGG